rnacentral:lncRNA from 1 species
UUGAGGAAGAGAAUAGGCUUCAAUUCACAACAAUUAUAUGAACAUGAAAAUGCAGUGUCUGAAGAGAAAACAACAUAAAUGAAUCAAUUAAAUAAAUAAAAAAGAAAACAGUAAGAAUUGAAGUAGAAGAUGAUGAUGGAGAAAGAAGAAUACCUCUUCCUUAUGUGUUGCUCUCUCAACAGCAUCAAGGUUCCUUCUUGAAGAAGCAUUCUUCCUUGCCACCACACAAUCCACAGAAGCAGA